GAGGUGUAUAUCCAUGAUGCACUGCGUGACUGUGGAGGUGUAUAUCCAUGAUGCACUGCGUGACUGUGGAGGUGUAUAUCCAUGAUGCACUGCGUGACUGUGGAGGUGUAUAUCCGUGAUGCACUGCGUGACUGUGGAGGCAUAUAUCUAUGGUAUACUCUAGGGCUAGGGGCACAUGCACAGCUAAGGGGUCUAGUUCUCAAUGACAUCAGAAAGGAAACUUGUUAUGAGGUAGUUCUUCUCUGUCUCUUCCAGUAAGCAAAUUGUAGAAUUGACGGGCUGCUUCAUGUACAUUCAGCCAUUUACAAGCAUAGGAGUGU